AAAAGCCCGUUUGUUUUUUGUGUCUAAGUGACAUCUUGUCACAGGGUUCAAAUGGAAACUCAAGUUCAUCUCUGGGUCUACGCCUGCUUCCUCAUUCAACUCCUACGCUUUUUUCCCAUCUCCAAGACCGUUUUUUUUGUUCUCAGAUCUUGACAAUGAUAUUCAUCUCGACGGUAUUACACUGAUAUUGUGGAUUUAAGAUGAAUCAGUCCGGGUAAUUUUUUCUUCAGUUUCCUUUUUUUAAUCGCUGAGUUAUUGCUAAUUGGCUACUUCUCUGUUCAUUGGAAAGUUAUUGUUGCAUUUUUAACAUGCAUAUAAUAAUUUUAUUGAUUUACACAUACACUAGUCUCUAAGUUUUUGUAUGUUUUCGUACAUACCUCUUUCAAAAUCCUCUUGUAAGAUUAGUGAUGCCCAUAAAGUGCUCGAUAAAAUCUCCAUUGGGAAAACCUUGCCUAUAUUUUUGAAUUUGCAUUAUUCUCAUGAUAUCUUUGUUGAUGAGUUUGUAACUUUAACAGUUAGUAGUUCGUAUGGAUUUUUGCUUUCAUAUACUGGAAUUAAGUUUUUUAGUUUAGAUUUUGAAACUCACGUUUUUUGGAAUUUAGGUUCAAGCUUAUGGCUAUAUUUUUCUUUAUGCGCAAUAUAUUGAAAUGCCAAAAAACAAAAAUAUCUAUCUCUGAAACAAACAGGUUACAGGUUAUUGAUUGAUAUAUUCGCUGCAAGAGUGCAACACUCUAUUGUCAUCAAUUGGUAACCUAAUGGCAUAGAACUGCAAAGUUGGAAUACAUCUCUUCUUUUUUACAUGUUCCGUUCUAUUCUUGGUUGAUUCUGUACAUGAUGCGACUCUUUGUUCAAAUAGUUUUACAUAAAUUUUCUGCAUACAUUCACAUACAACUACAACACUGGUCAUGCUAAGGUACUAUCCUGAAUAAAUAGAACAAAGAACUUUAAUGCAGACAAGAUGUUUGAAGAAUUUACUGGACAACAACAUAUAUAUUAUGUGAUAUAUAAUUCUGAAGGAUGUUUCAUGUCAUCUUUUGUUGAUCUUUUGGUGCAUAUUGCAAGACUACAAUCAUUGUUCAUCAAAUUAAAUUUAGAGAAGUAAAGGCUAAACUUUUUGUUUAAUUGCAAGAAAAACACAACUUAAAUGGUAUCGUUGCGUUUUCAAAUGGGAAGGUUAAACAAACCAACAUAUGGAAUACUUUCCACAACUUACCUUUGUCUUUCUAUUCAUGAAACAAUAGCAGUUUGUAAAGCUAACUAGAAUCACCAAUUCAUUACCUACCUUUGUCUUUCUAUUCAUGGAAAAAGGUUGUAUAAUGGAUUCUAAUGAACUUCAUGAUAGCAAAAAGAGUUUCUGUCAUCAUAGUCCUUGCACGCUGUCCCUGAAGUUGUAUUCAUCUUUAUGUCUUACCUUUUCAUUUUUCCUUUAUCUUAGUAUUUGCCGAACUUUUGUUCCCAAUUUAAGUUUUUCUUUUCUCAUAGAAGGGUUGAUUAAGAUUGUUACCGUUCAAAUCCUCCACAUGGAAUGAAGAAAACAUAUGUUUUGAUCACAGUCUUUGUCUUGCUCUUGUAGGUCGCAGCUAGGUCCAUACGGCUUUGGCCCCGCAGUCGGUUAUUUACAGGUAAAUUACAUUUAAUGUCAACAACUCAAUAUCUUUGAAUGAGUCUUAGAAUUUUACUCAUUUUAGGGGAAAUUACUCACCACAACAAAGUCUCAACAUUCUAAUUCUUUUUAAUUAUAUGGUGAUUCAUCAGCUCUAUUCUUUUGUUUUGUUGAUAUGAUCUCAGUGCGUUGAGUAUGUGGAUAUUAGUUAGGAAAUCUUAGAUUCCAUUUGAUGGCAGCUGAUUAUAUGUAUGUGAUAAAAAGUUCUGAAGGAGGAGACUUUCACAAUGCUAGCUUAAUUGUCUUGGGAAUAUCCUGUUGAGCCCCUCUGUUCGUGUCUUGAACUAUGUAAAGGUAAUUUCUUUUUUAAAAUUGCACCAAAAUCUAACACAUACCCAAAUAAUGCAAAAAAUUUCGUUCAAGCAGAGUUUGUGCUGAAAGGAUGUGCAUGUGAAGGAGAAAGGACUAUCACAUUCACUGUAUCUGAUUCAGUAAAUAAAGAAAUAUAUGAAAAAUGUCUCUGAUAUGAUAUAUUCCUUAUCAAGGGAAGUGUACAUUCAACUCCUAUAGCCAGAGGAACCAUUACUAGCAAUCCAUGCUUAACAAUCUUUGAAGUGGUAGAAGAUUCAUUGAAUGCGAUUCUUUACUUAUAAGAGUAUAAGAUAUUUCAUAUCUGAUGUUUACAUGCAGAGAUGGUGAUUGUUUGUAACUUUUUGUUGACAGCUUUAAUUUUCUUUCAAUUUGAUGUAGCAAGUGUUAUAAUUUAUAAUGCUUCAGUGAAUAGAAUAAAUACAUGAGAUCAUAUUAUUUUACGUUAGUGCUUAUGCAGGCAAAGUCUAAGAAGAGAAAUAACACUGAGAAAAGAAAAAAAAAAGUUGUUGUUGUCUCUUAUGUUGGGCCCGUGCUUCUAGUUGGUAAGAUACAAUUCUCAAGAAAGAUUAAAUGAGUACGCUAUAUACCAUUCAAAAAAGAAUUAUUAGAAAAAAAUUGAUAAUAACAAAAUU
rnacentral:lncRNA from 1 species